GAUUCUUGACACUUGAACAAACAGAAAGAAGUCACACUCCGGAAUCCUGACUCAGGAGCUUCUGGGAAGCUGCCAGUUUACUUAGCUUAACCUGCCUCCCCCAUCUGUCCCCUCCAUGCCCAUCCAAGCCAGCAUCCCCCCCCCCAGGAGACCCAGAUGGAGCCAAGAAGCCCCAACGUUUCUGAGUUUGCUGCUUCCCUGAUCUUGAGAGGCAAGUUUCAGGGAGAUGAGAGGAUAUGGGUACGAAUGUCAGCAAACCGACACUCUCCUCCCCUCUCAGAUCACCAGAGCUAGCCUGAAGCACUCUCAUGGCCCAUCGCUCGAUCCAGGCUUCUGCAAGCUACCAUCUGACCACUUCCAGGACUGGAAGCCAGGUUGCUCAGUGGUUGGCUGCACCCUGAGUUCCCCCCAAACUGAAAUGGGUCAAGGCCCCCUGCCUUGAGAUCUGACUAGAGUGCUUUGAGGAGCCAGUAGUGGCAGAACGGCUGGGGAUGGAGUUGGCAAGAAGAAGGAAGGAUGAAAAGCAGCCACGUACUUAUGCUCUGCGACGCUCUCAAACUGAGCUGCUGACACCUGCCGCUGUGUCAUUCCCAUCCCCCAAAUCAGGUCUCUUCUAAAUUCACCUAGGUCAUCCCCCUGCCUCAGGAAACAGGCCGAUUGCAGAACAUCCCUCAGUACAUCCAUCCUGAAAAAACACUAGAGCCACCUUCUCUGCCUGGGCUGGCCUGGGAGUGCUUCCAGAUAUCUAACACUAAUUCUUAAAAUCUCAGUCUGCUGGCCCUGUCCUUCCGGCCAUUCACCAAGUGAUCUCCAGAGGCUAUUUAAGAACUAUAGACUCAUUCCUUCUCUGGGGAGGGCGCCUGCUUUGCUGUGGAUGCCUGACUGACAGCUUCCUGUUCUCCCACUCGCCCUUAUCCAGCAUGCCUUCCCUUUUUGCCAUCCCUGGUCACCUCUGAGCAGCUUCCCAGCUCUCCAGUCCCUCUCCAGCCCUUGCCACCCAGCCUUGGUCCCAAAGGAGCCCAAUGCAAGCACUCACGGGGGGCUCUGGGCCAUGGCCACCAUCACAGCUCCGGGGAGUCAUUCAGUCUGCAGCUCCCCAGGAGCCUCCAUCCGGGUAUAAAUACUCCCCGGAACCUGGACCAGCCCCCUGCCCCAGGGCUGGGGCGGGGCUGCCUCCCCAGGCCAGACAGGUAGGUCACAUGCCCCAUAAAUGCCACUGGACCACAGGCCCUUCCCAGCAGCCCUGACCUCUCUGGGUGGAUGGAUGGAUGGAUGGAUGGGUGGGUGGAUGUAUAGAUGAACAGUUGGAUGGACAAAUGGGUGGUUGGAUGCUAGAUAAAAGCUGGAACAUCUUCCAAAUAGAUGGACAGAUGGAUGAAUAUCCUUGGUCUAUCAGUGGAUGCUUACUUUGUCGAGGGCAAGGAAUUUAUUUCAAAGAAACAAGGAAAGCUGUCCCUCAGAGGUCCCUUUCAUCCCUUUCUGACACAUACCUUCCAGAUCUUCUUCUCUCCCCUCUGUGAUCACCCAGUCUGAGGGAUCAGCUCUGCUGGACGCCCCCUACUCCUGAGAUGUCCCUUUCCAGAGACCUCCUACCAGACCACCCCCUGGUGCAAGGGAUUUGGCUCUUUCUUUGGGGUGUCAUUCAUGAUCUGCUUUUUCCUGCCUCCUGCCUACCUACCUGUGCUGGAGUCGACACUCUGAGGCUGUGAGCCCACCCCUAUAUCUUGCUCUCAGAAGUAAGGUUAUCAGAUAUGGGGGCAUUCUUAAAUCCAAGCACAGAAAACCCUGGGGCUGGCAGCUUAGGAAGGAGCCCCAUGGUGCCCUGCUUCCCACAGUGUGUGUGUGUGUGUGUGGGUGGGUGUGACUGGGGAUUGAACCCAGGGCACUCUACCACUGAGCUACAUCUCCAGAUCUUUAUAUAUAUUUUUUUAAAAUUUUGAGACAGGGUCUCUCAUUGAGCUGUCCAGGCUGGUCUUGAACUUAUCAUCCUUCUGCCUCAGCUUCCCAGGUCACUGGGAUUACAGGUGUGCACCACUGCACCUGCCUUUCCCAGGCCUUUUAAAAGUCAUGUCGGGUCUGGUGGUGAGGACAGGUCUGGCAAAGGACUUGGAGGUAGAACUCUCAGGGCCUAGAGAGCUGGGGGAUGGGAACUUCUUGCCUGCUCAGUCCUCCUCAGAAAGCAGUGAAUCUGUGACCUUAGACACUGAUUUCCAGAGAAGAAAUUUCCUUCAGAUCCUCAGUCUACCCAUCUGAUAAAGGGGCGAAAGAUUGAAUAACUGACAGGGAAUGACUGAAGGGCCAGGAGGUUUUUUUUUUUUUUUUUAACCCCCACAGAUUUUGAAACAUUACCUUCAACUUCCUAUAAACUUCCUCCAGCCACCCUGACUGGUGAUGCAGUGGAGGAGUGGGAUGAGGGAUGGGAUGACAUUGUUGGCCUCUAAGCACCCCUUAGCUCUGUGUCCCUGAGGCCCAGAAGUUCUGUUCCCAUAAUGAAGUCAUUCACAGCUGAGCCUGGUGUCCCCCUCCCCAACUGUGUGUGAUGCCAAUGGAUUGUGGCGGUGAUUGGCAGCUGAGGAUUUGAUCUGUGAGAUCGACAGGAAUAAUGGAGCCUUGUCUUACCUUCUCCCCUAA